rnacentral:rRNA from 1 species
UCGUUCCUACGGGGGGCAGCAGUGAGGAAUAUUGGUCAAUGGACGAGAGUCUGAACCAGCCAAGUAGCGUGAAGGAUGACUGCCCUAUGGGUUGUAAACUUCUUUUAUAUGGGAAUAAAGUUUUCCACGUGUGGAAUUUUGUAUGUACAAUAUGAAUAAGGAUCGGCUAAUUCCGUGCCAGCAGCCGCAGUAAUACGGAGGAUCCGAGCGUUAUCCGGAUUUAUUGGGUUUAAAGGGAGCGUAGGUGGAUUGUUAAGUCGGUUGUGAAAGUUUGCGGCUCAACCGUAAAAUUGCAGUUGAA